GUCCUUUUGCAGUUCAUCAGGAUGAUGAUAGGGGGCUCACACUUUUGUGUGAUGUAUGCCUUCCAUCACAAACCUUGUCCCACAUCCCACAUCGGUGCGUUGCCUGUCUACCG
rnacentral:snoRNA from 1 species